ACGGAAGGCAGCAGUGAGGAAUAUUGGUCAAUGGACGGAAGUCUGAACCAGCCAAGUCGCGUGAAGGAAGACGGUUCUAUGGAUUGUAAACUUCUUUUGCCUGAGGGUAAAGUGAUCUACGUGUAGAUUAUUGCAAGUAUCAGGUGAAUAAGCAUCGGCUAACUCCGUGCCAGCAGCCGCGGUAAUACGGAGGAUGCGAGCGUUAUCCGGAUUUAUUGGGUUUAAAGGGAGCGUAGGCGGCCUUUUAAGUCAGCGGUCAAAUGUCAGCGCCCAACGCUGGCCUGCCGUUGAUACUGAUGGGCUUGAAUACACACAAGGAAGGUGGAAUUCGUCGUGUAGCGGUGAAAUGCUUAGAUAUGACGAAGAACUCCGAUUGCGAAGGCAGCCUUCUGGAGUGCGAUUGACGCUGAGGCUCGAAAGCGCGGGUAUCAAACAGGAUUAGAUACCCUGGUA
rnacentral:rRNA from 1 species